CGGCUUGGAAGCACAUCAACAGAUGUUGUUUCUCUGUCCAGCAGAAGAAGUCUUCGUCGUCAGUUCGUCUCAAUCUGUAUCGUGCAGCCCUUAGUCUGCGUGAUGAUGUUCAAAAUCUUAGUCGCUCACAAUUGAUCAAUACACGAGCCGGGUCCCGCCGUCAGCUCCAUCCUCUGCAGUCAACAUCCAGUCAGCGUCCAAGUCAGCUUCCUGGGUCCCAGAUGUCAUUCCCUGGGGCUAGUUUUCUCUCG